CAGACCCCCCUGCUACUAGCUUAUAGAUAGUUGAUCAAUGACUUAAAAGACAGAUGCCGAGAGAAACUAUUAGAUUUUUUUAUUAUGUUGUGAAGAGAGAUCGAAGAUAAAGAUUUUCUGAUGCAGUGUAGGCAUUGGAUGAAAAAGACAGAGAAGAGAACAAGCCACCUCCGGGGCAUACCUCAAGGAGCACCAAUCUCCCCCGACAAACAUAUAUCCGCACGAAGCCGACCUCCGACCUAUAAAAAAAAAGAAAAAUUCAAGAAAGGACGAUGAAAAAGAUGUUUUGGGAGUGUGAGAUACGCGGAUGGGGAUUACGCAGCCAAACAACU
rnacentral:lncRNA from 1 species